rnacentral:rRNA from 1 species
GGUUGAUCCUGCCAGCAGUAUAUGCUUGUCUCAAAGAUUAAGCCAUGCAUGUCCAAGUAUAAGCAUCUUUAUACAGUGAAACUGCGUACAGCUCAUUAAAUCAGUUAUUAUUUCUUUGAAAGUUGACCAACUACACGGAUACCCGUAGUAAUUCUAGAGCUAAUACGUGCGUCAGGCCCCGACUUUUCGGAAGGGGUGUGCUUAUUAGAUUUAAACCCAUGCCCGCAAGGGUCUGUUGGUGAUUCAUAGUAAUCAUUCGGACGUCGAGUUUUCGACGCGAUUCAUUCAAAUUUCUGCCCUAUCAGCUUUUGAUGGUAGUGUAGUGGACUACCAUGGCGUUCACGGGUAACGGGGAAUUAGGGUUCGAUUCCGGAGAAGGAGCCUGAGGAACGGCUACUACAUCCAAGGAAGGCAGCAGGCGCGCAAAUUACCCACUCCUGACCCAGGGAGGUAGUGACAAGAAAUCCUGAUGCUGAGCGCUUUCAUGUGCUUAGUAACCGGAAUGAGAGGUAGUUAAAUCUCGCUAUCGAAUGCUAAAAGAGGACAAGUCUGGUGCCAGCACCCGCGGUAAUUCCAGCUCUUUUAGCGUACAUUAUCAUUGUUGCAGUUAAAAAGCUCGUAGUUGGAUUUUUGUUUCUAGUUGCUCGGUUCUCCGCGGCGGCAUUUGUCGUCGUGUGAGAGCUGGCCGGAGACAUUUCUCGUCGUUCGUCGUGGCAACACGGCGGAAGGCGAAAUUACUUUGAGAAAAAUAGAGUGUUCCAAGCAGGCGUCACGCCACGAAUACUUCAGCAUGGAAUAAAACCAACGGGCUUUCGUCCUUUUGGUGGGUUCUGGACCAAGUCAUGAUUGAUAGGGACGGUUGGGGGUGCUCGUAUUCCGGGGCCAGAGGUGAAAUUCUUGGAUUCUCGGAAGACGAACAACUGCGAAAGCAUUCACCAAGGACGUUUUCUUUAAUCAAGAACGAAAGUUGGGGGAUCGAAGACGAUCAGAUACCGUCGUAGUCUCAACCAUAAACGAUGCCAACUGAGAAUUCUUUCCAGUCUCUCGUGGGACACGUGCCGCAAGGUAACGGCCCACGAAUCGACGGAAGGGGCGCUCUGUGAGAAAUCAAAGUUUUCGGGUUCCGGGGAGAGUAUUGUCGCAAGGCACAAAUUUAAAGGAAUUGAUGGGAGUUUAUCAUCGGGAAUGGAUUGUGCGGCUCAAAUUGACCCAACACGGGAAAACUUACCAGGUCCGUACAGAGUGAGGAGAAACAGACUGAAGUUCUUUUUUGAUUCUUUGGGAGGUGGUGCAUGGCCGUUCUUAGUUGGUGGUGUGGACUGUCUGGUUAAUUCCGUUAAC